GAUGUACUCCCUCCGUCCGGAAAUACUUGUCAUGAAUAAAAGGGGAUGUAUCUAGAUGUAUUUUAGUUCUAGAUACAUCACUUUUUGUCCAUUUUGAUGACAAGUAUUUUUGGACGGAGGGAGUACCUG
rnacentral:pre_miRNA from 1 species